AUGAGCUAAAAAUAGCACAGCUGGGAAACCCAAGUUAUGACCUCGGAUUAAAUUACGGUCUUGUAAACAAUUUCAGAGAUUUGCCAUCAAAAAGGCUGUAUGAAUCGGAUAGUGACACUGAUGAGAAUGAGACAGACACCGAGAGUAGGCCAUCACAACUUAUUGACAAAGCAACAACGCCCAAACAGGCACGAAGCCUACUUUCACCUCCGCCUUGCUUAUCUGCACAGGCAUUGCGAGAGGCCGGCAGUGCUUCUCUAAUACAAGGUGCUUCUGAUACGCCCUCCCGUGGGCAGAUUAUUGGGCCCAGUAAGUAUAAACUUCGGAGCUGUAAAUAUAUUCAUUACAGUACAUACUUAUUAAAUGUUCUAUACUCAAUACAAGCCAAUAAAUGUUGUAACAAGCUGGAUUGAGUGACACAGCCUAAAAUGGAAAGUUUCACCUUAUGACGCCCCUAGUUAAAAAAAAUUCAAAAGAAAUUGAUGAUUACUUGUGUUAGUCUUUAUCAUGAUGUGAAUUAAUGUUCGCCUAUUCUUGUCUGACCCCACAACUGUUAUCCAAAGUUACGGUCCUUGGAAUAGUCAAAAAUGUUUAUUUUCACCCCAUGACAUGCCUAGCUCAAAAAUAUUUUAAGUUAAAGCCAAGGAAAAAUUUAAAAUACUGGAUUUUUUUCAUUUGUAAUUCACAUAGCUCUAAAAGUAUAAAGCCUAGAAUUAUGAAUCCUUUUUUGCAGCUGCUGUUACACAGAUUCUCUGAGUCUUGGAGACAAUGCAGGAGGAGAAUCGUGACAUUAAGAGGAUGAUGUAGCAAUUGUUGUCAAGGUCAGCAGCAGAUGACUAACCGCUGCAGCUUCCUGAAGAUAUCUCAUUCCCUAUUCGUUCUCCUUAGCAGAUGGAAACAUUCGAUGAGCUUCUGGGAGAUCAGACAAAGCUGUCAUCUGUGGUGCGGUUCCUCUCAAUGUUUGGUGGGGCAGUUGUGCAGGAAACUGUUGACCGCUAGAUGAUAGAAACCAUGUCAAAUGAACUGGCAAGAAUGUUCAAUAUGAAGGGGCUGAAAGGGAAGAAAACAUUUGGGGGCCUCUAGAUACUGAAUGUAUUGUAUAAAUGUGUCCAAAGGAACUUGCCGGCAAAGACUGCGACGAGGAAGGAUAUUGAAAUAAAGGUUUCAAAGUGGCUGGCUGGGGCGUGGGACCGCGAUGGGGGAAGGAAAGCAAGAAACAAAUUGUCCGAGACCUUACCUUAAGCAAAUGAAGGAAGUGACUAGACAUGUUUUUAUUUUUAAAAAAUGCAAAUCUAUAGAGGAUACAUGUAUUUGUUUGUUAGUGUGUAAGAUGAAAUUUUAUAUCAUCAAGUGAGCUGUAAAAACAUUAUUCUCACAAGUGAGAACACUGUUAUUUAAAAGUCCCUCAAUGAUAUAAAAUUACAUCUUACACAACAAAUAAUAAAGUGUCUUUUUAUUUUAUGCUAAUGAAACUUCCUCAAUAUUAACUUUAAUAAUUAUUAAAUCUGUUUUCCCCACUGUUAACAUCAAUUUUAGUUGAAUUUAAGUCCAAUUAUUCAUAAAUAAAGGAGUCUUGGGCUGAACAAAAAGUUUGACAAUCAACGUUGAAUGGCAAUGAUUUUAUUUAUUUUAUUAAAAAAAUAUGAAUAAUCGCUUUUUUUAAUAAUAAAAACAACCAAUUCUAGAAGAAAAAGUCACACCAUCCCACCUUAUUUCUGUUACUCAGGCAAUAUAUGUAUGACCUGGCUUUGUGAAAUGUAAGUGGCGGCCAUUUUUAAAAGUUGUGUAUUUUAAGGAAAAUUAAUUUUGUUUUAUUCAGAGGAAUAUUAUUUGGAUAGGUUAGUCUUGAAACAGUCCUGAGAAUGUCAGAAUUGUCAGCAAAAAUGAUAUUAUUAAGGUACCACAUGGGGAAAAUCUUUAAAAAGUAGUCUUGUCAUUGAAAAGUUUGAAAUUUGGAUCAUUUUCACUGUAAAUUUAUCAAAUAUAAUUUUCACGGAUACAUCAGUAGUACACACAAAAGCUUGAAAUGAAUGACUUUUAUUUUACAUUUUCGAACCUUUUCUUCAUCGGCAUAUAAGUUAUUCCAAUGAUUGAAAGUCAAUAGAUAUCAAAGUAUUUUAAAAUGUGAUAAGGGUCAGAACUACAGUAAGUGGCUCAUUUGUGUAUCUUGUUAUACUUUUUGUUGCUAAUUUUAAUGUUUGAGGUCAUCAGCAUAGCAUGUCUUUCUUGUAAAUACAAAAUUCUUUGCCUUCUAGUCAGUUUAUUUUGCUGCUAUGUAAUGUUUGUUGUUGACAUUAUAUGCUGUUUUUCUGUUGUCUAUAUGCUGUUGUUAUUUUUUUUCAUUAAACAUUGUUGCUAUUUAAAUCAAGACAUAAAAUGCUUGGGGAAUGUUUUUGAUACUGAUCAAUACAAUUAUAACAUCUUGUCCAAACUUAACACUAACAGGGAACACAUAUAUAGAUAUGGUAUUAACCUUUUAAAUCAAGUUGAAAUACUGUACAAUGAUGCUUCUUGUAAUCUUUAUUUUUGUUAUUGUUGAAACUUUGAUAAUAUCGGAUAAAUUACUGAAACAACUAUUUUUACUGACAAUUUUUUAAAUGAACUUCUUCACAACAAAUUUGAUCUCGUUAAAUCAGUAUUAUUUCACAUUUUUAAAGGAAUAUAUCCAUAAUUAAUUACUGUUCUGUGAUAUAUAGGAUAAUUGUUAAUUUCGGUGUAAUAUCACAUUUUAAUUAUUAUUAAUUUCACAGAGUGGAUACCUAAAG